GCUGGGCAUGGUGGCUCAUGCCUGUAAUCCCAGAACUUUGGGAGGCUGAGGCGGGUGGAUCACCUGAGGUCAGGAGUUCGAGACCAGCCUGGCCAACAUGGUGAAACUCUGUCUCUA
rnacentral:SRP_RNA from 1 species